AAGAUUGUUGCUGAUAGUCUCAGCCAGAUCAGCCGCUCAUCCACCUUCCUUCCAAACAUUGGUGUCCCUACAACGUCCAAGACUGGUCGGUCCACAUCGCUAGCUGCACAAGCACGCAUGCAAGCUCAGUUUGAGGAAAAACUCCAAGCUGAAAGAGAGGAAGCUGCUAGGAAGCAGGAAGAGUUGCAAGCACAACUACAAGCUCAACAGGCCGCACUUGAAGAAAACCAAAGUUUGCUGCGCCAGACCCAAGAGGAAGUGAAGGGGAUGCAUACCAAGUUUGAAGAGACCAAUGCACUGCUACGAGUUGUCCUGAAACUUCAGAAAGAUUGAGGUAGGGAUGCAUACCAAGUCUGAGGAUGAUGCCUUUGCUUAAGGUUUUUCUACCUUGCUAGAACAUAUCUGUGGUUAGAACUUUGUCAGAACUACGUGCAAUCUGUUUGAAUGCUUCAAACCUUUGUGGUGAAACUUUUGUAUGUUUGAACCCACAACAAUCUGUUUGAAUGCUUCAAACCUUUAUGGUGGAACUUUUGUAUGUUUGAACCUCUGUUGUGGAAGAACUAGUGUGCUGGAAUUGUGUAUGACUUGUGAUAAGAAUGUUGUGUAUGAUGGCUUUUCUGUGUAUUAUGAUUCUGUGUCGUCACUGUAUGUGGGUGUCAUAUUAAAAUAAACAAAACCAAGCUGUCACAUUAUCCACAGACUAAUAUAUGAUGGUCCUGGAUCGUAACAAAACUGCGACAGAUAACACCGCCAUAAGUGACGAUCCCAACAUUAGUUGACGCGUUGACUGGAAAAAAUGUGACAAAUAACACCGUCAUAUAUAGCAGCAAUAUGUGAUGGACUAACGUAGCCGUCACAAAAGGUAAUGACAUUAUGUGACGGUACUCUAAAAAGUUGUCACAAGGUACAUAAUGUGACGGUCGUUAUAUGACGACCCUUAUGACGCAGCAUUUUCGUCAUAAGAUGAUUUUUAUGACCAAUUUUGUACUAAACAUGACACUUUACUUUUGUCAUACAAAACCAUUUUUUGUAGUGUAAACACACUUUUCGAAUCACUUGCAGAUACACACUCUUCGAUGGAUUCAUUGACUUAUCGGUGGUGAGAGCUUAGAGGAUGGAUUCAUCGUCACGUAGCUCGUGCUCUCAUUGACCGAACGAGAAGAAGUUAGAGAUUAUGAGGUUGAGUGAGGAUAUGAGAUAGGAACGGGAAUUUAUGCAGGCUUGCAUCCAACAUAACCAAGCGAUGUACCAAGUAAGUAUAGAUGAUGAGAACUCUAAAUUCGUAUAUUUCAAUACAACAUCUUCAAUAGUAACACAUAUGUUCAAUAGUCAAUGCAGUAAUAGGGCAUGACACUAACACACAUUCCAUUGCCGCCACAAUUGAGCCAGUUUGCAUCCACACCAGCUCAAGUACGUUAACCUUAGCAAAUUCUCUUAUAACAUUCUCUAACCUAGCAUUUCAUCUAGUUUAUAUAGUAGCACAACAUGAACCGUAUCUAAACUUAGUCAAAUAUCCAUUAAAUAGGGUCUGGGGACUCAAUAGUUCAACACCCCACACACAUAUACCGACACCUAGAGGUAGGGUGUUUUAUAACUCUCGGUGAUUUUGUACAUUUGUAUACUCCACUUGUUGAUAUUUGCAUUUAACUUGUUGACAUUUACAUUCUUACAUAGGCUACGCCUGGACCGGGAGGGAGUGGAUAUGAACCCACAGGAAUUGAAUUUGUUGAGUCCCCCUUCCUGUACCCUCCUCCUGGUGGUGGCAACGGCCAAAGCUCAAACCAUCCAAGUGGUAGUUAUCUUUGAGUAUGUUACUUUUGGUCGUCUUUGUUUCUUAACUUGUGGACGAUGUCCCUGAGUAGCUUAAAUCAAACUGUGUUGGUCUUAUGUUUGAAACUUUGAAUAGUAGGUGUCUUUGUGAACGGAACACUUAACUUUUCUCGUUGUUGUGAUUUGAAAUGGUUAUGUGAGCUGAGUUGAUGAUGUAUGAAUUGAUUAUAUGGUUGCAAUGUGAAGUUUUAUGGACUAUGUGAAUGGUUGUGUUGGUAAUGUGACUCAUAUUGAUGUAUAUGACUUUUGUGAUGAUAUGUAUUUUAUGUGUGUUGUUGUGUAUAAAAGUGUAAAGAAUUUGAGCCUAAUUAGGUGUUGGUUUGUAGCAAGAGAGAAUAAUCCCCGUCGGUUUGACCAUAGUCAACGUGGAUUAUCCCCAUUAAUUCCCAUUGGCCAGGGCAGGGCUGACCGAGAUAAGUCUAUUUAAUUCUCGUCGGUCCGUCCCUGGCCAACAUGGUUUAGCCUCAUUAAUUUCCAUUGACCCUGACUUGGCCGAUGGGGAUAAGCUCAUUUAAUUCCCGUCGGCCCAUCCCUGGCCAACGAGAAUUACUGUGUUCGCCACGGUAGAUCCAACAAUUAGGAUAAUACCAGCAGUCGGCUACAUUAAGCCGAUGGGAAUUAAUUAAUUAUCAUCCAGAAAAUCCCGUCGGCCAGGUCCCAUCGGGAAUUAACCUAAAACUGACAGGAAUUAGACCGACGGGAAUUAGUAAUUUUCGUUGGUCAGAAUUAGUCAGGAAUUACUAAUUCCUGUCAGAACCUGGCCGACGGGAGUUAACUGGAUUCCUGUAGUGGUAUACAUGCCGUCUCUACUAGAAUAGACUAUGUCAUUAUUAAAUAUACAUUACCCCUCAUGUUGUCAUUAUGCAUAUGCUUUAAAUUGUUCGAUUGGUAUCUAUAGAAAAUAUUUUAUCAUUUAAAUAUGUAUAGAAAAAGGGGAGUCUAGUCUAUUCACCAUGUUUUGGGUUCCUCUUCUAGUUUUUAACUUAAUGUUUUCCAAAGGGAGAGAUUUUUCCAACGGGGAGAGUAUACCUUUUCACAUUAGGGGAGAUUACUUUGCCAAAUAGGGAGAACUUUUUCUAAAGGAGAAAAUCUUUUUGAGGCUCAAAAAUGCUUUUGCUACCUCCUAUAUGCUUUAACAUGUAUUAAUUUUCGGUGUUUGAUUCCAAGGGGGGAAAUUUGUGAACCAAAGCAAACUAAAGUUUAUCAAAUACCAAAACCAAUUUUUUAAAAUUUUCUGCUCUUUCAAUUGGUUAUUUAUGUUAGUAUCGGUCCAAAAUAAGAGGUAUGUGGAUUAUGGAGUUAGGGGAUGCUUAAGUCCAUAAUCACACAUUAUGAGGAUUGUUUGCAUAUGCAAGAAUAUUGAUCAAAUUCUAAAUGACAACAUAUCUUUCAAUUUGGUCUAUCAUACUCCUUGCUUAUGCACAUGCAUCUAUAGCAAGUAGAAUGCAUAUUUUAUUUUGGUAUUUAAUAUUUGAUUGCUUUGGUUUUGUUGUCAUCACUCACCAAAAAUGGGGAGAUUGUAAGGAAAAUGAACCUCAAUCCAUUUAACUAAUUUAUUUCAAUGUUUGAUGAUAAACAUAACUUGUGGACUAAUGUGUUUGCAAGUGUUUAUGUUUGUAGUUCACAUGAUGUGAAGUAGACUUGGACUGAGGCAUUGAGGAAGCAACACUACAAAGAAGACACUAGAAGACCCAUAAAAGACCUUCAAGUAUCAAGCAUAUGUCCAAGACAAAAGACUAGAAGAGCCCAAGCAAAUAAGAUUGAAGAAUGAAGAAGUGAGUUGCUUCUGGGUGCACUAGACCGAUUGUGCAAAGAUCACUUUUCUAGGCACUCGGCCAGCUGGCACACCAGACCUUGCGGGCGGUGCACCAUACCUUGGUCAACGAUUGACAACAGGCAGUUCCAACGGUCAUCUAGUCAUCGGACUGGGCGAUGGUGCACCGGACCUCUUGGGGACUACUGGAGGCAAACGACUAGCUGAUGUGGAGGGCACCGGACUAGUCCAGCGCAACGCAGAAAAAUGCUUUCCUCCAACGGCUACUUUGGGGUUAGGGCUCUAUAUACCCCCCAACCUGGCAUUUGAGAGUGUGAGAUCCCAAUCAACAUUGUAAUAGGGUUGAGACAUAUUUUUAUAGCUCCAAACACCCAAGUGCUUAAUAGAAUCCUCAACGCUUGCUCUAAGUUUGUUCACAGUAGAUUGAGUGAGGUUAGAACAACCCACAAACCCUUUGGCUCUUGCGCGAGCCAUUGUAAUUUGUACCGAGACGGACCACACCAAUCGUGUUUGUAGUGUGGCCGCCACCAUGUACCGGAGGGAACAAGGCCCAUGGCCUUUUGUCUAGAAACUUGAUAAUGAAGACGGCGGGGAGCAUCUGAGAGGAGACCGGAAGCAGAGCACCACUUACACAUGGAGAAGUCAUGUGGCUCUCUAUGGAGUUACUUGACCGGGUGCUUGGCCCUCGCGUGGACUUCCCAUUGCGUAGGGACACCAAUGAGGAUUAGUUAGAACCUUGCACGGUUCUAGAUACAUCCGUAAAAAUAUUGGUGCGUCAAUGAGAGUUUGCAUCUCUAUCGGUCUCUUUAAGCUUCCGUAUUUAUUGCAUACUUAAGUUGUGAUCUUUACCAUUCCUAGUUUAGAAUAUGGGGUAGUUGGUAGGAUUGGAACUUAGGUUGCUAAAUUUCUUUUGCGGUGGAGAUAGCAACACUUAGACAAAACUAUAGUGCACAUUCGUGUUAAGUUAUUUGCAUAGGUUUUGUUUAAGAGAACUUUUAUUGACCUAGUUUAGAGUGCAAAAAUAGAAUUCCUAAUUCACCCCCCCCCCCUCUUAGGUGUCCGCGUUCCUUUUAGGUACAAUUUGGUAUUGUAACCCUAACUAUAGUUGUGUGACUUGUGUCCCAUGUUCCCAAUACCUUAGUGAUAUUGUACCCUAGCAUAACAAGGCUUUCAAAGAUAACCACCACUACUUAUAUUCUCGGCAUCACUCACAUUGUCCCAUUUUUCUGCCUAGAUGUUUUCUCCUCUCUUUUCUUUGUUAUUGUAAGAAUGCUUGCCCUAGACAUCAUGUUUGGAAAUGGCAACUUCAACUAUAUGAUGUUUGUUUCAGCUUUAUUCCAACUUCUAGCCACCAAAAGCUAUUGUUGUGGACUGCCAAACGCUUAGCUUUUUAACCCAUUUUUGUGAGAAUUGCUUUGGUGAAAACCAUCCAAAAUCAACGUGAACACUUAAUCGGUCGAGCCAUCGUGAUAGUAGAAAUCUACCACUUUCUAGAUCAUAGAUCCUAUGGACCCUUCAUCUUCCUCCGCGUGUAAUGCCCAUGAUACUCAGAUUCUUCCACAUGCCACAACCAGAUUCUCAAAAAAGCUCGUCAGAAAAAGAUAAAACAAAAGGCCUACAUCGUGCUAGUUGCUCAUUCUCUAACCACGAACAUCCCUACCCAACAUGUGGCCUCCCCAAUCAUGACUAUUUUGAUGCUAGAGAUCUCCCUAGCCAUCCAUAAACUAGAGGCAACAAAUAAAUCCCCUUGCUAAUCCUAAAACUUAGAUCUUGUUUGGAUGCAAAUAUUGAGUUUUAGAAAAGUACAAUGGUUUUAUAAAAUAGUUCUAGAGUGCCAUGGAGUGUUCAGGUGCAACAAGCUUAUAGUUUUUGAAAACCAUUUUAUUGCUAAAUGUUUUUAGGGUUUUUAAAACUCCACCAUUUAGGUGUAGGAUCAUACACCAUAGACAUAUAUAGUCGAUGAUAGUGAAGCAGAAAAAAAAUGAUAAAAGCACUAGGCUUUCAAAUUAUAUAGCUAUAGUUGGCUUUGAAAUUCAAUAGCAAUAGUUGGCUUCGCUCCCACUACGAUUGAGUGAGGAACGUUAGUAGUACAAAUACGUAUAAUUAGAUAUAAUUGAUAUGUGUACAAACUCUAGAUAUGAAGUUAUAAUCUUAGCUAGAGAUAUAAUAUAAUUAUGACCGGUGCAAAACAAACUUGUCUUAUACUCUAGCUAUAUAUAUAUAUACACACAUAAUUUGAAUAUUGAUAUGCAAAACAAGCAACAAAUGAUUAUUGUUCACAUGCAUGAUUAUUCAAUUUUAAAUAAAAGAGGGUUUUAGUCUAUCCAAUCUCCUCUAUUUCCUGGCUCUCAAAUAAGCCCUAAACUCCUCACAAUUAUUCUAGCUACAAUUCCCCGCGCAGUAGGUUCCAUCAUCUCUAACCCAACUUUAGCAUUUGCUUCAGUCCUCGGAUGAAGUAGAGAAACCAGCAAAUAGCUAGUUGUUAGCUGUGUUAUCCGCUAAGAGACACCAGCAAAUCAGCAAACAUCACCUUAGAAUAGUAAGAGAAUUUUAAUCUCUUCAAUCCCCUAACUUUUCCUUGCUCUCCCAAACAUUGUUCUUAAGCUGAUUUACUAGGUUUAGGGUUUCAGGUUGUCCGCUGAUUUUUAGCGGCUACUAUAUUGAUUUACUAGGAGUCUAGGACGAAGGAUGCGCCGACAGACGCGCUAGCUAGCUCUCACCUCGCUCGUCGGCGUGCGUGGGUAAAAACCCGCUGAGUAUUACUUGCCCAAACCCAUACUCGCGAAGAAAAAACACGCCCGCUAAAAAACUCAUAUCCAUGACAGGUAUAAAAUUUUGUCCAAACUCAUACCCAUGCGGGUUUCGGGUACCCAACGGAUUUCCCAUACCUACUAACAUCAACAUAAAAAUAAUUCAUCAUGUAAAUGACAAUCUAUACAUUAAUAAGCUAAGAUAAAAGAAACAAGUGAUAACUAAUUUUAGCUUAAAAUUUGUUACAUGAAGUUUAUUUUAAUUAAAAAAUAUUUAAUUAAUAAUAUUACGAUACAUAUUUAUAAGGAAUGUUAAUUUUAAGGCGAGUUUUAAAAAUCCAUGGGUUUGCGGGUAUGAGUAGUGGAAGAACAAACUCAUGCUCACGUACCCGUUGGGUUUCCAUUUGAACCCAUUAACAAACUCAGGCAUUGUUCGGUUAAUCCCGUUAUCUAUGGAUUGAACGGGAUUGAAAAAAAUUGUGAAGAAAUUUGACUUGCUUGGGAUUUAAACCCACCCAAUUCCACUCAAUCCACAUGGAUUGAGAGCUAACCGAACAAGCCCUCAUAGGUAAAGAAAUUGACUCAAACUCAUACCCUAAUAGAUCAAAAACUCACCGGGUUUCGAGCAGCCAUUGCCAUCUCUAGGCCGCGUGCGUGAGUGGCGGCGUGUUACUCCACCGCGGCGCCGCACUCGGCUGCAUGCCCCCGAACUCGAUGCCACCCUUGCCGUACCCGGCCCAUCCGAUUGGUUCGUACACAGCAUUUGCCAGUUUGCCAACGCCAGCUAUGCCUGCGCGCAUGAGAAUAACACCGGCGCCGGCGGUUUCGCAGCCACACCACCAUCAUGCAUUGCGCUUUGCGCCACCACAGCGCUCAGUUUUCGCCCGCAUCCGGCGGCGGCGUGCGUGUGCGUCCGUGAGCCGUGGUGGGCCGGCUUGGGGCGUG
rnacentral:lncRNA from 1 species